ensembl:lncRNA
CUUCUCCGUGGAGAUCUUUUCUCUGGAGUUUUUGGUGAGCCCUGAUCCUCCGAAGGAGGUUCGAAAUGUAAAUGUGGAAGAAAAUGUGCCGAUCUUACAGAAGAGCCACAUACAUGAUGAGAAGUGUUCUGUAGUACCAAAGGGCAGGAUGCCAUCAUCCCCUUACUACACUGACCAAAAGACAGCUUAAUGAAAGCAAGAAGAACAGCCAAAAGUGGGUUUAUUGCAGCUGGUAGUUCCUGAGAUGCUUGCAGAGGACGGGAUACUAUAAACUGAUUUACCCUGUCUUGUUCUAAAGAUGAUGUCAGUGUGGUUGACUCUCAGGGACUUAAGGACUAAAUGCUCUGCAUGGCUUAAAAGAAAUCUCUUUUAUUGCAUAUCCUCAAACUUCCGUUCUUCCAAAAAUGCUUGCUGAUAACCAUCUCAAAUGAUCAAAUAAUUGUAGAAUAUCCUGAGUUGGAAGGAACCCACAAAGAUCACCCACGUCCAACUCCUGGAUCUGUGCUGGAUCACCCAAAAUUCAAACCCUUUAUCUGAGAGUGUUGUCCCAACUCCAGCAGGUUUGGUGCCGUGCCCACUUCCCCUGCUUUCAGGGAAUAACCUUUUCCUAACACCCAACUUGACUCUCCCCUGACACAGCUCCAUGCCUUUCCCUUGGGCCCUGUUGCUGUCACAGAAAGCAGAGCUCGGUGCUGCCCCUCUGCUCCCUCUGAGGAGCUUUAGGUUGCCAUGAGGCAACCCCACAGUCUGAUCUUCUCUAGGUUUGCCUGUACCCGGGUUUCUCUAGGCUUGCCAGCACUUGCUAUUUUAUACUGUAUGCACUUGGUGAUUGCCCAGCCCUCUAGUCUGUCAAGAGCUCUCUGCAAGGCCUCUCUACCCUUGAGGGACUCAACAGCUCAUUCUAAUUCAGCUGCAAACUUAGUAUGCAUGUCAAUCUUGUGUCCACAUCAUUCAUGCAGAUGCUGAAGAGAACUGACCCUGGAAUGGAGCCCUGUGGAACCCCACUAGGGACAGGUCUCCAGCCUGGCAUAACCUCGUUUGAGCCAGACCUGUCAGCAAAUUGUUUUACCUACUGUAUAAGGUAUUUGUCUAGCUGUACACAGGACAUUUUGUCCAGAAGGAUACUAUGAGAAACCAUUGAGAGAUUUACUGAAACUCAAAAAUAUUACAUCAUCUGGCUUCCCUUUGUUAAUUAGGUGAAUAACAUUGUCAUAAAAGGAAAUUAAGAUAGUUAAACAGGACUUAUCCCAGAGAGAGAAAGGAAGAGGCAGAGGUAUUGGGGCAAUGAUUCAGAUCUCAUAGGGCUGAGGGACACGAUUUUUAGAUAUGCUUCCAGCAGUAGAUAUGGCUUGUACAGUCACUGUGCAGAGAAGGUUGGGUCAAGGUCCCUUUUAAUGUCCUCAUGUGAAAAUGAUGCGUCCUACAACUGGGACUUAGUAGUUGUGGGAGGAUUGGGAAUCUCUGCUUUUUAGCUCCACAAGAAAGUUUGUGCCAAUGAAAUGAUGUUCUCAUCGCUCAUCUUCUGGUGGACUUUUCUUAUCAGGAAACAUGAAAGAGGAGCUUUAUCUUUAGUAGAAAAAAAAAAAAACCUCCAUGUUUUUGAAAUGUGAUAUAUUGGGUUUAAGGAAUAGCCGUAUGAAGUUCAAGCUCGCAUUACAUCAUCUUUACUGUUAACAUAUAUUUGCCAAGCAAUAUGACAUGCUCAGGAGAACCUUAGCUUGGCUGAGUUUCAGUGGUUUGAUAUUUUCACAUUUCUCUGUGUUUUUAAUCUUUUUUUAUAAUAUUUCUUCAGAGAAUGCUCUAAGCUUUAGUCUCGCUUUGAUUCCUCUUAUUCUGUUAGUUAUGUGUGAUUUAAACUGCAGGAUCAAGUAAGACAAUAACCAGGUUAGCUUUUCAAUCAAAAGAAAUGAAAAGAAAUAGAAUGGUUAGAAAACUGGAAAGGAUUGUCUCAGUCUCUGUAAGAACUACACAUAGAUAUUAACUGAUGGAUUUUAAUGCCUGUAUUUUAAAGUUGGCUUAUAUGACUUUUAUU